rnacentral:tRNA from 1 species
GCACUCGUAGCUCAGUUGGAUAGAGCGUUGGCCUCCGAAGCCAAAGGUCGCUGGUUCGAGCCCAGUCGAGUGCACCA